UACGAAGGGGGCGAGCGUUGUUCGGAAUUACUGGGCGUAAAGGGCGCGUAGGCGGCCAUCUAAGUCAGACGUGAAAUCCCCCGGCUUCAACCUGGGAACUGCGUCUGAUACUGGACGGCUUGAGUAUGGGAGAGGGAUGUAGAAUUCCAGGUGUAGCGGUGAAAUGCGUAGAUAUCGGGAGGAACACCAGUGGCGAAGGCGGUUGCCUGGAGCUUUGCUGACGCUGAGGCGCGAAAGCGUGGGGAGC
rnacentral:rRNA from 1 species